rnacentral:rRNA from 1 species
UACGAAGGUGGCAAGCGUUACUCGGAAUUACUAGGCGUAAAGGGCAGGUAGGUGGUUCGAUAAGUCUGCUGUGAAAGCUCCCGGCUCAACUGGGAGAGGCCAGCAGAAACUAUCGGACUUGAGUAUGGGAGAGGGUACUGGAAUUCCCGGUGUAGCGGUGAAAUGCGCAGAGAUCGGGAGGAACACCAAUGGCGAAAGCAGGUACCUGGACCAUUACUGACACUCAGCUGCGAAAGCUAGGGGAGCAAACAGG